AACCCGGUACCGGAAUCAGCCACCGGAGGAGAUCUCGGAGGCGCCUCCUGGGUCAUGGGAUCCGACUGAGGCGGUGGCUCAGGGGGGACAGGGUCUCCCUGGGAGUCCAAAUUCCCACCUGGAGAGGAUGAGUUAAGAAUGAGAACGUCAAACUGCGGCACUCAGGACUCCAGACUCCCGGGCCUUUCCUCUCUCAGAUCCAGCAGUGUAGUCCCCCAGCUUCUCCUCCCUCAGGCCCAGAUGUCUGGACCCUCAGUCCCUCAGUCCAUUCCUCCCUGAAACUCAGGUGUUCGCCCCCCAACCUCCCCCUCCCUUCCUCCCUAGUAUCCCGGACCACGGUCCCCCUCUUGCCUGGGACCUACAAUUCCAAGCCCUGCCCAGCUCUUUCCUCACCAAGACAAAAACUUCCCAGCGGCCCGCAGACCCCUCCUCUCCAGGAGCUAGGAUUCCAGGUCUUCCCCAAAACCCAGGACUCCAGGAUCCCCGCCCCUCACCUGUCAUCAUUCUGUGCCACUGCGACGCCUCAGUGGCCAGGGCUUGGGAGAGGCUGAGGACCCGCUCCCGGUGGCCUCCGGACGUCGGAAUUGAUUUUCUUGCUCCCUCGACCCGCCCUCCAGUUCCUUACCUACUCCAGGACCCGGAGCUUCUGAGCCAUUUCUGGGCUCCUGAGUGCCCCAGCACAGGCUGGAAAGGAAUUGGGACAUUAGGACUCCUCACCUGGAAGUCCCAUGUCCUCAUCUGAGGGUGAAGUGGAGGGAGCUCAGAAAGGGGAUCAAGUUGCCCAAAGACACUGACAAUGUUUAACUUUACCUGUGCUCCUGGAAAACAGCUCGGGUUAAAAAAAAUCCUCCUGCCCCAACACCUGUGACUUGUCUAAUUCCUUCCUAUAAAAGUCUAAGGUGACACCAUCCUGAGACAUCUGAGACACUCUGAGGUUCAGAUCUGGGGUGCUGUCCGUCAGAGCGUGAAUAAAAUCAAUUUCCUUACUGGUGCAA